UACGGGGGGUGCCAGCGUUACUCGGAAUCACUGGGCGUAAAGGGCGCGUAGGCGGCCUAGCAAGUCUGGUGUGAAAGCCCAGGGCUCAACCCUGGAAGGGCACUGGAAACUGUUAGGCUUGAGUUCCGGAGAGGAGGGGGGCAUUCUCGGUGUAGCGGUGAAAUGCGUAGAUAUCGGGAGGAAUACCGGUGGCGAAGGCGCCCCUCUGGACGGAAACUGACGCUGAGGCGCGAAAGCGUGGGGAGCAAACAGG
rnacentral:rRNA from 1 species